CACAUGUCUGAGCACACAUAAGGGACUCUGUGAAUAUGUGUGUAUUUGUUGUGUGCAUGCCCGCAGAAUGGGAUACAGAGACUCACUCUAUUCAUCAGGGAUUUGUUUUAAUCAGGAAUUGGCAGGCAUGGGAAGAGCACGCUGUCCAGGGUCGGCAAGGCCUGGAAAUGUCAGAGCAUCAGAAUACUGAAAAUAAAAGACAUGCUCACUUCUCUUUCUAGGUUAAAUCUAUUUUGGUGGCGAGGCUGGGGACACUGGGAAUAUGAUACUGAUCAAUCUAGAAUGUGUGGAGGAGUGGACAGCAGUUUUUAAUCAGACAAGACCUUCAACCCCGGCACAGACCAUCAAUUGGCAGGUGUUAAAACAGACCAAAAUGUGUUCUCCCGCCCAGAAGCAAGCAAAGCCAACCCCAGCUGCAGUUCCCUGACAGUCCAGUGAAUUCAGCCAAAGGAAAUGGCCCCACAUGGAGGGCAAGUGACAGAAGACCUGAUGACUCCGGUGGCUCAGCGGAGAGUGCAUUAAUAGGCUUGACCACUUCUGCUCGAUCUUCAGGCAAGCUGGGUCUGACCCCUGGACACUGUCCCCUGGAGCCCCUGGCCUCCACGUGUCCACCCACUGCCAUGGUCAUGGCUCCUCAGCAGGAGGAGGCCCAGCAGCCUCCAGGUGCCCCUGCCUGGUGCUAGCUGCCCACCGAAGCUCUAGCCUCACACUCUCAGGUUCAAAUCCAGCGACAAGAGCGGAUCCCACAAAGGCCACGAGAGUCACCCUAAACGGUCAGCUUAGGUCCUUCGUUCACUGAGCCCAUCGCUGUCCAGGGCAAGUGGUGCUGGCUGGGCUAGGUCCAGCUCCCGUGUCCACCCUGGGACCUGAGGUUCAGGGUCAGCUCACCCUAGACACAUGGAUCGAGUGGGGAGGGUGAAUCCUCAAAUGCUAAUCAGGUUCUGUUGUACAGAAGGGGAAGCGGAGGCAGGAGGAUGCAGCAAGACCUGUUCCCUCCUCUAACGGCACUCAUAGGACAGCCCAGCCACACAUUCAAAGAAUCUUGAAGGAAUAGGAUGGUUGGUAUGGUUGGUGUGGAAGAAGGUUCAUAAAUUCUGGAUUUAGCUUUGUGGGAUUCAGCUGACCUGAAAUUUAUACCUGUGCAGGUAGGUGGUUGCUGGGUAGGGUGACCACUACUGUCUCUCUCCAUCACCCAGGGCUGUUUUCAGCUCAAAGCCACAGAAGCCCAGGCAUGGUGGCAUCUCCGGGGGAAGUUGCCUUAUUCCAGAUUCACAGGUCCGGGGCGAAGGGGCCAGGCAGGGCAGGUGUGGGGCGGCAGGAUAUCGCCCUGGGCCUGGCUCCUUCUGCCUUUCUGCCACCAUCUUCAGCGGUGCCAUUACCUCGAGGCCUUCUGUGGUUGCUGGAGCUGCCACGCUCGGCCUCCUGUCUGCCUCCAGAUGGGAGAGGAGGAAGGAGGAGGUGAGAGCAGGAAAGAGCUUACAUAAAAGACCACAUUUUCCCAGAAUCCCCAGCAGCUGCCUGUUCUCCCCCUCCACUGGGCUAGAGCUGUGUCACACAGGCUGAGCGGCCAGGAAGCUGGGCACCAUCCAGGGAGUGUGUGAUCGUCGGGGUCCUGUUGAUUCCUGCUUUUGAGUAAUGAAGGUGACCAAACCACAUGACCCUGUCUGCAAAGAUUCCACCUGGACUCCCAGUUCCUCCAAGGAACCGUCAUGUGGUUCAAAUCCAAUGAAAUUCUCUAAAUCUCCACCCUCCUCAGGGUGCAGAGUUGGCUGCUUCUCUGUGCCCCCUGCUGAUCACGGCAACCCCUGGGUGCCUCGGCCUGCGAAGCCCCAGCUGUCCUCCGUCUGCAGACAAGCCGAGGUAUGAAAGCCUCCUCGCUGGCCCAGGAGCCUGUCAUUGUCCUCCAGCAGCUCUAGCCUGGAUGCGGUCCCAGAGAUAAAUCAUAUCUCUUUAAAAAGCCACAGUGGCCCAUUAUUUCUGCUUGAAAAUACCCCUGGCUCUCUGCUGGUGAGCUGGUUGACAGGCCCCGGCUGUUGUGCUCAGUGCUGCAAAGAGUCACGUCAGUCUGUCGACUUGUGUAGUGAGCAAGCUGGUAGCUUCAGAUGGUAUGCACAUGAAAUCCCGUCCUGGCAUCCAGGACUUGGCUGGGGGUUGCAGAGAGAACCACAUCUGCAAAAGAGUUGGUAUUUUACAGUCCCAGCCUCACGUCCUUGUGAAAUGCCCUGUUCAUACUGGGCUACAGGGGCGGGAGCAAAAAUGAUACAAUGACAAUUCCUGGGCUGUGUUCUGCAAUAUUCUACAACACUUCCACAAGAAAACUCCAAUCUUUAAAAAUAGACUGAGCACAAUUAAACAAUCACUAUAGAUAUUUCUUUUCUUUUUUUUUUUUUUGAGAUGGAGUCU
rnacentral:lncRNA from 1 species